CUACAGGUUGUUUUAACAACCAAAAGACAAUGUAUUAGAAAAUACUU
rfam:Camelus ferus unplaced genomic scaffold scaffold843, whole genome shotgun sequence.